rnacentral:rRNA from 1 species
CCGGCGACCGGCGGACGGGUGCGUAACGCGUAUGUAACCUACCUUGACAGGGGGAUAACAUCGAGAAAUUGGUACUAAUACCCCAUAACAUCACCGGAGGCAUCUUCGGUAGGUUGAAAACUCAGGUGGUCAGAGAUGGACAUGCGUUGUAUUAGCUAGUUGGUGAGGUAACGGCUCACCAAGGCGACGAUACAUAGGGGGACUGAGAGGUCAACCCCCCACAUUGGUACUGAGACACGGACCAAACUCCUACGGGAGGCAGCAG